UGGGGAAUAUUGCACAAUGGGCGCAAGCCUGAUGCAGCCAUGCCGCGUGUGUGAAGAAGGCCUUCGGGUUGUAAAGCACUUUCAGCGGGGAGGAAGGCGUUAAGGUUAAUAACCUUGGCGAUUGACGUUACCCGCAGAAGAAGCACCGGCUAACUCCGUGCCAGCAGCCGCGGUAAUACGGAGGGUGCAAGCGUUAAUCGGAAUUACUGGGCGUAAAGUGCACGCAGGCGGUCUGUCAAGUCGGAUGUGAAAUCCCCGGGCUCAACCUGGGAACUGCAUUCGAAACUGGCAGGCUAGAGUCUUGUAGAGGGGGGUAGAAUUCCAGGUGUAGCGGGGAAAUGCGUAGAGAUCUGGAGGAAUACCGGUGGCGAAGGCGGCCCCCUGGACAAAGACUGACGCUCAGGGGCGAAAGCGUGGGGAGCAAACAGG
rnacentral:rRNA from 1 species